rnacentral:tRNA from 1 species
GCUCUUGGCUCAAACAAUUAAGUGCUUGACUAUUAACCAAAAGGUUGGUGGUUCGAAUCCACCCAAAGGCA